rnacentral:rRNA from 1 species
AGGAUGAACGCUGGCGGCGUGCCUAACACAUGCAAGUCGAACGGAACCUUCGCAAGAGGGUUGAGUGGCGCACGGGUGAGUAACACGUGAGCAACCUGCCCUUGACUCUGGAAUAACAGUUGGAAACAGCUGCUAAUACCGGAUAUGACUGACGGCGUCAUCGUCGUUGGUGGAAAGCCUUGGCGGUCAAGGAUGGGCUCGCGGCCUAUCAGCUUGUUGGUGAGGUAACGGCUCACCAAGGCUUCGACGGGUA